rnacentral:rRNA from 1 species
CAGUAGUCACGAGUUUGAUCAUGGCUCAGAAUGAACGCUGGCGGCAUGCCUAACACAUGCAAGUCGAACGAGACCUUCGGGUCUAGUGGCGCACGGGUGCGUAACGCGUGGGAACCUGCCUUUAGGUUCGGAAUAACUCAGAGAAAUUUGAGCUAAUACCGGAUAAUGUCUUCGGACCAAAGAUUUAUCGCCUUUAGAUGGGCCCGCGUUGGAUUAGCUAGUUGGUGGGGUAAAGGUCUACCAAGGCGACGAUCCAUAGCUGGUCUGAGAGGAUGAUCAGCCACACUGGGACUGAGACACGGCCCAGACUCCUACGGGAGGCAGCAGUGGGGAAUAUUGGACAAUGGGCGAAAGCCUGAUCCAGCAAUGCCGCGUGAGUGAUGAAGGCCUUAGGGUUGUAAAGCUCUUUUACCCGAGAUGAUAAUGACAGUAUCGGGAGAAUAAGCUCCGGCUAACUCCGUG